CCCCAUGAAGUUUAAAUGGCCGCAGUAAUAUGACUGUGCUAAGGUAGCAUAAUAAUUUGUCCUUUAAAUGAGGACUAGAAUGAAAGGUUCUAUGGAAAUAAAUUAAUGAUUUUAUUAUAACAUGAAUUUAAGAUUUAAGUUAAAAUUCUUAAAUGAUUCUGAAAGACGAGAAGACCCUGUGGAUCUUUACUAUUAAUAAUAUUAUUAUUUUUAAAAAGAUAAUUUUAGAAAUGGUUUGAUUGGGACGAUUCUUCAUUUAGCUGAAGUUUAUAAAAUUAUUAAGAUCCUAUAUAAGGAAAUAAGAUUAAGUUACCCCAGGGAUAACAGCGUUAUAUUAUUGGAUAGUUCAUAUUGAUGAUAAUGUUU
rnacentral:rRNA from 1 species